AUCCAUGGAGACUGAGAAGACUAAGGUCCUUUCAAUAUUGAUAAAUGUUCUUUUUCGUUUUUCUUAUAUAAUUAUUGAUUUUUCAAAAUGUGAUAUUUAUCUACAAACUAUGAAGUUGGUUUUUUGCCAAGUUAUUGUUUAUUAACCUACAAGAUUGCAUUUUUUAAAUUGUAGAAGCAAGCAACACUGAUGGAAACUGAGAAGACUAGGAAACAAGCAACACCGAUGGAAACUGAGAAGACUAAGAGAGUUGGAGAAGAUUUAGGUACUUUCUUGCAGACAUCCUAUUUCGAGGAUUUAGUGCUUUGUGGAGAUAAUGGAGAAAAAUUCGAUAUCAAUAUUUUGAAUGUUGAUAAUGUUAUGCGCAUGAAACUCUGAUAUAAUUGGGACCAUGUCUGCAAAGAACUAAAUUUCAAAGCUGGAACUACAAUUCGCUUUAAGUUUGAGACCAAAAGUGGAAACGAAAUCAGCUUCAGAUGCCAUCUUUUGAAAUUAGAUUAGUUUUCAUUAAAUGUAUGACAUUUUUAAUAUGUUUGUCUAUGUUAUGUUUUUGUAUUUCCCUUAGCUUUGGUGUCUAAUUCUGGUACAAACAUCAUUUCAUUGGUAUCCUAUUUUGGUUUUCUU